ACAAAAAUCUGGUUUUAAAACAAUUAUUUUGGAUUUUCUAAAGGUUUAGAAAGAACAGUUGGCAGAAAUCCCUUUGGCACUCAACAGCAGCCAACAACCCUGGAUAAAUCUAAAAUAGAUGAAAAGAUUAAAGCAGAAAGGAAGAAAAUAUGCAGCAAAGCAAAGAAUGGCUGAGUGCCAGCUUUUAGCAAUAAGAGAUGGCAGUGCCACGUCUGAAAUCAGUGUUUGAGAGAAAACAUGGAGAUUAUCCCCAAAAUCUGCAGUGGAGCUGCUGGAGAGGGGCUGGAACGGAGGAGGAGAGGGAUCCCCAGGGGCAGAGCUGCCUCUCUGGAAAUCACAAGCUUCACAUUUCACAUAAAUGCUGGUUAUCAUCCUCGUUUCUUGAUUGGUAUUGUAAAGCAAUCACAUCUGCAGCAGCAUGAGCAUAAUCACUCAUGCAAAGCCAUAAAUUACUGUAAUUAAUACAUGCCAGCUAUUAAUGGCAAUGUAAAGAGGAGCUCUCGUGGCUUGGUGGCUGCUGUUCCAGCUGAGGCAGUUUGGGCUGCAGCUACUUAAUCAGAAGGGAGGAAGGGAUAUCCUGUGUGUGAGCUUCUCAGAGUGCAAGAAAUCCUAAAUAUUGACACUUCACUCCUUUUCCUCUCCGAGCAGGAGGAAGAGCUGUUAAUUUUCCAAUUCUCCUUCAUUUCAAAGGAGCUGCUGUUUUCCAGCAUUGGUGUGCUGCAAGAAAAGCGUCACAGCCCCCAGCUCUGCUGUUUCUGUGCCUGUGGUGGAGGGGAGCUCUGAGCCUGCAGGAAAGCACAGCUUGGGAAAAUCCUGAGCCUUGGAAUCGAUCAUUUAACAAGCAGACAUUUCAUAGAGCUGGAAGCUCCUCUCCUCUCACAGCCUGCUGGUGGAAAUCAUGCCCCAGGCACAGAAAAACCCCACUGCCCUUGGCGUGGAGGAAAAGUGGGAUCAAGGAUGGCAUCCUCCUGCCAGAGAGGUCUGGAGGAGAUUUCAUCUGUUGCUCACCAAGGAACAUCUCACUGCAGAGCUUGGCCUCCUGAAGCAUCCAGAGCAGCAGCUCUCAGCACUGCCUUGUCCUCUGCUUUUUCCUGGGCAUUCAACCUGGACAGAGGGAAAAUUCAACACUGGGUCUUUAUUAAACAUUAUCAUUUAUUUUGUUUAUGGAUAGCUCCUUUAUUUCAAACAGAAAUAUUCCAUAUUCACUGGAAAGUUGGUUUUUUCAUGCCUGUUGGAAAGAGUUAGAAUUAAAAAAAAAAAAAAGGAAAAAAGG